rnacentral:rRNA from 1 species
CUCAUAGCGUAUAUUUAAGUUGUUGCGGUUAAAAAGCUCGUAGUCGGAUUUUGGCUGAGAACGAACGGUCCGCCGUUAGGUGUGCACUGUUUGGUCUCAGCUUCCUGGUGAGGAGGUGUGCUUCACGGCCACUUAGUCACCGUGGUUACUUUGAAAAAAUUAGAGUGUUCAAAGCGGGCUUACGCUUGAAUAUAUUAGCAUGGAAUAACACCAUAGGACUCCUGUCCUAUUUCGUUGGUCUCGGGACGGGAGUAAUGAUUAAGAGGAACAGUUGGGGGCAUUCGUAUUUCAUUGUCAGAGGUGAAAUUCUUGGAUUUAUGAAAGACGAACUUCUGCGAAAGCAUUUGCCAAGGAUGUUUUCAUUGAUCAAGAACGAAAGUUGGGGGCUCGAAGAUGAUUAGAUACCAUCCUAGUCUCAACCAUAAACGAUGCCGACUAGGGAUUGGCGGAUGUUAAUUGAUGACUUCGCCAGCACCUUAUGAGAAAUCAAAGUUUUUGGGUUCCGGGGGGAGUAUGGUCGCAAGGCUGAAACUUAAAGGAAUUGACGGAAGGGCACCACCAGGCGUGGAGCCUGCGGCUUAAUUUGACUCAACACGGGGAAACUUACCAGGUCCAGACAUAGUAAGGAUUGACAGAUUGAGAGCUCUUUCUUGAUUCUAUGGGUGGUGGUGCAUGGCCGUUCU